rnacentral:rRNA from 1 species
UACAGAGGGUGCGAGCGUUGUCCGGCAUCACUGGGCGUAAAGGGCGCGUAGGUGGCCCGACAAGUCAAUGGUGAAAGUUCGACGCUUAACGUCGAAUCGGCCACUGAUACUGUUGGGCUGGAGCACUGUAGAGGCUCAUGGAAUUCCGGGUGUAGCGGUGGAAUGCGUAGAUAUUGGGAAGAACACCAGCGGCGAAAGCGCGCUACUGGGCCAUUACUGACACUCAUGGACGAAAGCUAGGGGAGCGAAAGGG